rnacentral:sRNA from 1 species
GCGAGGUGCGGUGGUGCACGCCUGUAAUCUCAGCAGUUUGGGAAGCUGAGGCAGGAGGAUCUGUGACUUAGUGAGGCACUAAGCAACUCAGUGAGACCCUGUCUCUA